rnacentral:lncRNA from 1 species
UUGGGCUUUGGGGUUGUUGUUUUGGGUAUUGUUAGGCUCGGCUUUAGGUAUUUGAUUGGGUAGGUUUGGUGGAGAUAGUGGUAUCUCGUGUAGAGGCUAGGAAGGUGCGAAGCUUGCAAUUUGCGAGGCUCGCUGACUUUGAGGUUGAUACUGUGGUGAAGGUUGCCACAUCAUGGUGGGUUGGCAGUUGAAGGAAGGAUUGGCAAAGGAGUUUGCGAGGUUAGUAUUUGAGUUUGCAUAUGGAUAAGCUUGGAAGUAUGGCUGUUGUGGGUAGAAAGAGGUAUGGUGGAUAGUUUUAGAUGCUGCAGCCGCUCUUUUUUCUUCAUCUAUUCUUUUGAAGGUCUUUUUUGUUUCUGGGCAAAACCCAAUCGCAUGAUCUAAUUGCUUGCCGUGCAAUGUACAAUAGAACAUUCAAGGUUGAUUGUUUUGAUUGUGCGACCUCGGAGGUCGUCUGCCUGGACAUCUCCCUCUUCCGGAAUGACCACCUCUUUGCCUGUUGCCAUAGUUUGUUUGAUGUUGUUGUUGGGGCUAUCUACUAUGAUCUUGAUUUUGUUGUUGUGAGGAUUGUGCACCCUCGAUUGGUAGCAUGUAUUGAGCUGGGUAUGGCUGCUGGUGUUGUGCAAAAUUGUAUUUCGAGGUUUGCCAGUUUUGGUCUUUUUUGAGCUUGCCUUCGACGGUUUCCUUCCAUUACUCUUUUUCUAUGAUCCUCAUCUGACCUGCAGUACUUUUCCAGCUUGGCGAACAAAGCUUUCAUGAUUUUUGGCUUUUCUAUUGUUAGACGCGAAGUUGUUGGGCCUGGU